AAUCCGAGAAUUUCACCUCCAACAGUUAAAUACGAAUGCCCCCAACAAUCCCUAUUCACCUUUACCUUCGCCCAGACACCAACAGCUGGACGAUGGUCCGAUGCUAUUAUUCCAUGCUAACGUAUUCAAGGCAUUUGCCUGCUUGAAACACUCUCAUUUCCUCAAAGUAAAUGUCCUGAGUCCUGCGCCCUCACAAUUAAGUGAAGAACACGUCCUCAGAAAGAUGCAUCAAAGGUAGCCGUACGCGCCCAAUGGGUGGACCGCUCCUUCCAUGCAGAAAUCCAACUACGAGCUUUUUAACCGCAACAACUUUAAUAUACGCUAUUGGAGCUGGAAUUACCGCU
rnacentral:misc_RNA from 1 species